rnacentral:rRNA from 1 species
AGCGAACGCUGGCGGCAGGCUUAACACAUGCAAGUCGAGCGGGCACUUCGGUGUCAGCGGCAGACGGGUGAGUAACACGUGGGAACGUACCCUUUGGUUCGGAAUAACGCUGGGAAACUAGCGCUAAUACCGGAUACGCCCUUUUGGGGAAAGGCUUGCUGCCGAAGGAUCGGCCCUAGUCUGAUUAGCUAGUUGGUGGGGUAAUGGCCUACCACGGCGACGAUCAGUAGCUGGUCUGAGAGGAUGAUCAGCGACACUGGGACUGAGACGCGGCCCAGACUCCUACGCGAGGCAGCAGUGGGGAAUAUUGGAAAACGGGGGCAAGCCUGAUGCAGCCAGGCCGGGUGAGUGAUGAAGGUCUUAGGGUUGUAAAGUGCUUUUGUCCGGGACGAUAAUGACGGUACCGGAAGAAUAAGCCCCGGCUAACUUCGUG